rnacentral:lncRNA from 1 species
GGGCUCUAAAAAUGCUGUUGCUUAUGCAGAUGAAGAUGCAUCUGGAAUGAGAAGAGGAUGAUUUUUUUGCACCAAUAGUUCCCUUGUGGCAAUCACCAUAUGUGGCUGAAAGAAAUAUUUAAACAAAACUAUUGGUGCAUGUGAGAGAAGGUCCUAUGCCGCAGUCUGGCUGGGCACAAUUCACGAGCCACUUGUCAAGCAGAAACAAACUUUAUUUUCAGAACGCACGCAGCACCACAGGAGCUCUUCAGGAAUUCCCUCAGAGCCCAACUGCCACCACCGGCUUCCAGAGCCUCUCAACCCCCACUCCUGCUCUUGAGGCUGAUUGGCUGGGUCACGUGGGCAGAGCCAAAAGAGUCCCCCAAUGAGCAGCUCCGUGGUCUGAAAGGGCGGGGAAACAGCCCAAUGAGCAUCACCACAGAAGAGCCAAUCAGCUGGCAGCUGGAAGUUUGCUGGGGCCAGGUGAACCAAUCAGCUGGAAGUUUGCUGGGGCUGCUGUGAGCCAAUCAGCUGGAAGUUUGCUUGGGGCCCCUUCAGCUGUGGCUCUCAACAGUCCUACUCACCCAGGGUGUGUUUAAGCAACAAAACCUCUAACGAAAAUGCCUUUUGAGGUGGGAGAGCUCUCAGCCCUGAAGAGGCUGACUCAAGGAGAAUGCACAUUGGAGUUGAGCCUCAGAGGCACUUUCCUGAGAGGUCUCAGCAAG